rnacentral:rRNA from 1 species
AGGGGGGGUUUGAAUCCUGGCUCAGGACGAACGUUGGCGGUGCGCUUAAUGCAUGCAAGUCGAGGGAGAACCAUUCGGUCCGUAAGGACGGGAUGGGGAAACCGGCGAACGGGUGCGUAACACGUGAGGAACCUGCCCCGAAGACCGGGAUAGCCCGGGGAAACCCGGAUUAAUACCGGAUACCCUUUCCGACCCGCAUGGGUCGGAAAAGAAAUGGUCCGCCGCUUCGGGAUGGCCUCGCGGCCUAUCAGCUAGUUGGUGAGGUAACGGCUCACCAAGACAGAGACGGGUAGCUGGUCUGAGAGGACGAUCAGCCACACUGGGACUGAGACACGGCCCAGACUCCUACGGGAGGCAGCAGCAGGGAAUAUUGCACAAUGGGCGAAAGCCUGAUGCAGCGACACCGCGUGCGGGAUGAAGGCCUUCGGGUUGUAAACCGCUUUCAGGAGGGACGAAAAUGACGGUACCUCCAGAAGAAGGCCCGGCCAACUACGUGCCAGCAGCCGCGGUAACACGUAGGGGCCGAACGUUGUCCGGAUUUAUUGGGCGUAAAGGGCUCGUAGGCGGUUCGACAAGUCGGCCGUGAAAACCCGGGGCUCAACCCCGGGACGCCGGUCGAAACUGUCGUGACUAGGGUCCGGUAGAGGUGAGUGGAAUUCUCGGUGUAGCGGUGAAAUGCGCAGAUAUCGAGAGGAACACCAGUAGCGAAGGCGGCUCACUGGGCCGGUACCGACGCUGAGGAGCGAAAGCGUGGGGAGCAACAGGAUUAGAUACCCUGGUAGUCCACGC